GUGUGUCGUGAACUUUCACUGCUUCAAAUCAUAUUUUCUAAAGGAAAAACUAAUCUGAAAUAGCUGAAUUGUGAAUUGAAGUGAUCUGCAGUUUACAGUUAUUGUUUCAAACAUUAAACAUGUCAACCAGGCAAGUUGUGAUUGCAUCGGAUGACAGCGACUCGACUUUACCGGAAGAAAAAUCUGAUAAACUGGAUCCCAAAAAGUCCAGAAAGCACAAGAAGCAUAAAAAGCAUAAGAAAACCAACCGUUUAGAAAAAGUUGAAAAGACUAAAUCAAAGAAACAUAAGAAGCACAAACGUAGACACCGUGGCGAGGAAGGCGAAGUCAGUGACACCGAGGAGGAAGAAGAGGAAAAUGCGAAGAAUGGUGCUAAAAUUGACAUUCGCAAACUAGAGCAUGCAAUCCGUGUCAAGCCAAAAGAUAGUGCUAGCAAAACUAAAGAUAACGGUAAUUUGAAAGCUUGCUUGGAAAAUGAAAAGGAAAAACAAACAGAAAUUUCGACGGAUCCAGAGAAACUGGUGGCAAUUCUAACACAAUCGCUAGACAAACCUAAGGAACGACCGACUCAGGAAGUAGUGUCCAUUGAAAGUGACAGCGAUGCUACGCAAGUGGAAGAUGCUCCCAGUCCGGACGUAGCUGUUAUCGAGGAUGAACUCAAUUUGGAAGAUUUGAUGAGGCAAAAAGCUUUACUUCAGGCUAGACUGGGAGAAUUCGUUUCAGAUGAAGAUGAUGACGGCAACGGAGAACAAAAAGAUGGUUCAAAUGAUGUGCGAAAUACUUCAAAUCAGAAAAAAAGGAAAAGUAAAGCUAGUGAGGAUGUGAUUACGAUCGAGGGUGAUUCCAGUGCCGAAGAUGUGAAUCGUCUCCUGAGAAAAGCAAGACAGCGCAGCCGUUCAGCAAACCGUGACGAUCGUAAAACCCGGAUAUCUGAUACGGAUAAGCGCAACAGCCGCCUUGAGGCAGACGCUAAAGCACGAGCAAAGCAGCAAGAGCUGGAUCGUGAACGAAAUCGAGAAGAGCAACGUCGACAACGUGAGCAUGAAGAACAUAACCGUCGAAUGGCUCAGGAACGUUACGAACGGGAAAGGGCGCGGGAUCGAGAUCGUGAGCGUGAGCGGGACCGAGAACGAGAACGAGACCGAGCUCGGGCAAGGCAGAGGGAUAGAGACCGAUCGGUGGAACGGUAUCGUGAUCGACGUAGUCCGUUAAACCGUAGCAGGGAUGGGAGACGUUCAAUGGAACGUAGCGGCGGAGGUAGAAGGCUUAGUUCACGAGAUCGUUUUCGUGGGCGCAGUCGAAGUAGAGAUAGAGGAGGUUGGCGUGAACGGGACGAUAGAGGCCGUUACGAUGGAAGAGAUCGAGGAAGCAAUGCUCGCAAUGGCCGUGAUUAUCGAGGUAGCACGAAACGAAAGCCCGAAGAUGAUAAAUAUAAAGAUUCGCUCAGUGAAGGACUGAAACAGCAGAAAGAGUCUAGCAGCGAUAGUGAAGUGGGUGACAUCAAUAUUGACGACGAGGAAGACGAAGAAAAAAUCAUUGAAAAGCGAAGAAAGCAGCGCGUGGAAUUGUUAAAGAAACUUGGAGCCACGAAUGACGACAGCAAUCCGUCACCGGAAAUUAAACUAAGUGCAAACGAGGCAAAAACAGAACAAAAAAUAACACCUCAAAUCGGUGCUUACCGGUCACAGAAAAAAGCAGCAGAAAACGUCUUUGUAAUCGAUGAACCAUCCAAAGUGGACGCGUUAAAGAAUAAUGAUUAUGAAGAGCAUAAUGAUUCUCUGACUCCUCCGAUUCCUAUAACUAGAGUGACGGCCGAGGAGCACAAGGACUUGCGUGAGGAGGAGCGUACCAAACAGGACAAAGCAUCGGGCAAGCGUGGCGAAUGGGACAUGUUUGCUGAGCAGGACAUUGACUCGAACUUCGACUCUCCCAAUACAGUGGUUGCAAAUAAACAAGGAAAUGAAAAUCCUGCACUAACUGACAAUUGGGAUGAUGCCGAGGGAUACUAUCGAGUACGGAUAGGUGAGAUACUUGACGGUCGAUAUGUGGUUGCGAACUAUACUGGACAAGGCGUGUUCAGUACAGUCGUUCGAGCAAAAGAUCAAGCACGGGGCAACGCACUGGUGGCCGUUAAAAUUAUUAGAAACAAUGAAAUAAUGCAUAAAACUGGUCUCCGUGAACUGGAAACUUUGAAAAAACUUAACGACACUGAUCCAGAGGAUCGGUAUCACUGUCUCAGACUUUUUAGACAUUUUUUCCAUAAGCAGCAUCUUUGCAUGGUUCUAGAACCACUUAGCAUGAAUCUUCGAGAGGUUUUAAAAAAGUAUGGUAAAAAUGUAGGUCUUCACAUCAAAGCCGUCCGAAGCUACACACAGCAAUUGCUACUUGCUCUUAAACUAUUGAAGAAGUCGGGUAUCUUGCACGCUGAUAUAAAGCCGGACAACAUUCUGGUCAACGAUAACAAUCUGGUUCUAAAGCUGUGCGAUUUCGGAUCAGCCUCAUCGAUCACGGACAACGACAUCACACCGUAUCUGGUAUCACGGUUCUAUCGUGCACCGGAGAUCAUUCUCGGCUUACCGUACGAUUACGGUAUCGAUAUGUGGUCCGCCGGUUGCACCAUCUAUGAAUUGUAUACUGGCAAAAUCUUAUUUAGUGGUAAAUCAAAUAAUCAAAUGCUUAAAUUUUUCAUGGACUUGAAGGGAAAGAUCCCGAACAAGAUCAUACGGAAAGGACAAUUCAAGGAUCAACAUUUCGAUCAGAACUGCAACUUUCUGUCGCAUGAAAUCGACAAAAUUACCGAACGGGAAAAAAUCGUGGUUGUGUCCGUCAUCAAACCGAACAGAGACCUCCAGCAGGAGUUGGUAGCCGGUCAAAACCUACCGGACGAUCAGAUUCGCAAGGUUUCGCAGCUGAAGGAUUUACUGGACAAAGUAUUUGCUCUAGAUCCGGCGAAGCGAAUUUCGCUCAAUCACGCCCUGGCGCAUCCCUUCAUCCAGGAUAAGAUCUAGUGGAGAUAAUCUAAAAGCAAGAAAUGAAGCUACCCCGCUAAACAAAAGGGCAAAAACAGAUCCUCGCACUAAAAAUUAGUGUGUGAUAAGCGUACAAGUCACAUUGAUGAUCUCUUGUUUUUACGAUGCAAAAAAUAAGAGAGCGCUCGGAUCAGAUGACUGGCUGGCAGCGGACGGGACUGGAAUGAAACGAGCCACCCAACCGAUAAGCCACGCAGCGUAGUCAACAUCUGCCUCUCUUUGUCUGUCUCAGUAUCACACCAUAAGCUCUACUCUCAACUUUCAAGAAACCAAAACUCAUCAAAUCAGAGUUUCCCCAAAAAACAAUACCACUAGAGCUUAUAAUGUGUGUAAAUGUUGAGCCGUGCCAUCCCUUUUUUGUGGCGCCAAUAGAGGUAGUGACAUAAUUGACAUUUUCACAACUGCUAUUUUUUUUGUUUAGUACUUUAGUUUCCAAAAUUUCCAUAUCUAUCCAUUCCAAAUUCAUCAAACCCCUUCUGACCUGUAUUUUCGUCAAUCUCACCUGUUUAAAUUUGUCCUACAACCGCGAAAACAUUUCAGCGACGCCUGUUGUGAGCAAUUGAUCUUCUGCUGUUCUUUUCUUUUCUUCUGCGAUUUUUUUCAGACACGACGAACGGGACCUUUUUUUGUGGCCAGAUGUCGCCUAUAUUUAUCGUUGUUUUGGUCAGCUCUAGCAGACGAUGGGCAGGUAAGUACUAAAAGGAUUUGAUAUUUCAACAAUUUUAAGUUCAGUUAUUUUUUACCCGAAUCGCGUGAUAAACAAAAACUUGCACUUGUUAAAUUUAUUUUAUGCUUGCUUUAAAUCAACUAACAGCAAUGACAGGUUAUGCAAAAAUAAAUAGGGCAAAAAGCUGAAAUGCGAAAGGCUGAAGAUCACAAAAGUUUUUAUAAUUCAAAGACUAAAAUCUGCUACUGAAAAUAUAAAAGUUCAUGUCAAUGUAUAUUACUUCUUAACAUAAAAAUAGUGGAUUCAGUAAUUUAAUCAUUUUCGCAGCUGAGUUCAAACAUACGAUGAUUAGCUUUUUGAGUAGUGUCGUACCUAGACUAGGAGAUGAAUAGGCAGAUACGGAAAAUUGGCAAUGAUGAAAACGUAAUAUUUAUAUUUAAUAUCGACGCUGCUAGCAAAGAAAAGUUCAAGUUGUACUUACUUUAGUGGCGACGGUCCGUUAUCGAUCUUACACCGAACAAAAUAAA